CCUACGUGAGGCAGCAGUGGGGAAUAUUGGGCAAUGGGCGCAAGCCUGACCCAGCAACGCCGCGUGAAGGAAGAAGGCUCUCGGGAUGUAAACUUCUUUUCUCAGGGACGAAGAAAGUGACGGUACCUGCGGAAUAAGCCACGGCUAACUACGUGCCAGCAGUCGCGGUAAUCCGUCGGUGGCAGGCGUUAUCCGGAUUUAUUGGGUGUAAGGGGCGAGUAGGCGGGAGCGCAAGUCAGAUGUGAAAACUCAGGGCUCAACCCUGAGCCUGCAUUUGAAACUGUGUUGCUUGAGUGCUGGAGAGGCAAUCGGAAUGCCGGGUGUAGCGGUGAAAUGCGUAGAUAUACGGAGGAACACCAGUGGCGAAGGCGGAUUGCUGGACAGAAACUGACGCUGAGGCGCGAAAGCGUGGGGAGCAAACAGGAUUAGAUACCCUUGUAGUC
rnacentral:rRNA from 1 species